UGUCCCUUAAAGUUAUGGUUUUUUGAAAA
rnacentral:piRNA from 1 species